GUCUAUGGCCAUACCACCCUGAACAUGCCCGAUCUCGUCUGAUCUCAGAAGCUAAGCAGGGUAGGGCCUGGUUAGUACUUGGAUGGGAAGAAUGUGUGUAUUUAUUGAGU
rnacentral:rRNA from 1 species